rnacentral:rRNA from 1 species
AACGAACGCUGGCGGCAUGCCUAACACAUGCAAGUCGAACGAUUGCCUUCGGGUGAUAGUGGCGCACGGGUGCGUAACGCGUGGGAAUCUGCCCUUAGGUUCGGAAUAACAGCUGGAAACGGCUGCUAAUACCGGAUGAUAUCGCGAGAUCAAAGAUUUAUCGCCUGAGGAUGAGCCCGCGUUGGAUUAGGUAGUUGGUGGGGUAAAGGCCUACCAAGCCGACGAUCCAUAGCUGGUCUGAGAGGAUGAUCAGCCACACUGGGACUGAGACACGGCCCAGACUCCUACGGGAAGCAGCAGUGGGGAAUAUUGGACAAUGGGCGAAAGCCUGAUCCAGCAAUGCCGCGUGAGUGAUGAAGGCCCUAGGGUUGUAAAGCUCUUUUACCCGGGAAGAUAAUGACUGUACCGGGAGAAUAAGCCCCGGCUAACUCCGUG